GCUAACAAAAUAUAUAUUCAACUGAUUUUUCACGAAGAGAGGUGAGCUAAGUAGACAUGCUUUUGGAGCAUAUUACGUUGCAUAGUAAUAAAUAAAUGUGUACUUAGUGGUGAUAGGCCUUCCAUCCCUCUGAAUAUCUUGUUGCGUUUUAAAAAUAUUAAGUAUUUAGGCAGACUAAUAAAGCUAAGCUUGUUAGUAGCUAUUAAUAAUAAAGAAUCUAUGUAGGUGUAGCGUAAUAGCUAGCUUGUAUUUUAAAAAAUAUUGAGUUUAUGGUAUUAUAUAUAUUAUUAUGUUACCGUGUUUAGCUUACCGGGAGAUUAUGUUAGUAUAAGUAAGUAAAGUAAACCUUCCUAAGGAACUCGGCAAGAAAAUACCCAACUGUUUACCAAAAACAUAACUGUAUGAAAUAUUAUGCAGCUUUUUCUGCUCCAUGAUAUAUUAAAUAGCCGCAGUACCCUGACUGUGCAAAGGUAGCAUAAUCAAUUGGCUUCUAAUUAAAGUCUGGUAUGAACGAACGCAUGGGUAGUGACUGUCUUAGGAAUGUUCUUGUGAAGUUAUUAAGUUGGUGCAAAUACCAACGAGUAUAAAAAAGACGAGAAGACCCUAGAAACUUUAAGAUGCUUUUGCUGGGGCGGCAGAAUUGCAUUUAACCAAUUUUAUUUUACGUGAAGCAGCGCAGAAAGGGAAAGUUACUCUAGGGAUAACAGCAUAAUUUAAAUAGUUUGUGACCUCGAUGUUGGACUAGGGAACUUACCCUUUAGAAGGGGGUAAUAGUGGCUCUGUUCGAGCUCUGAGCCCCUACAU
rnacentral:rRNA from 1 species